UACGAAGGGGGCUAGCGUUGCUCGGAAUCACUGGGCGUAAAGGGUGCGUAGGCGGGUCUUUUAAGUCAGGGGUGAAAUCCCGGGGCUCAACCCCGGAACUGCACUGGAUACUGCCAUGCUUGAGUACUGGAGAGGAGAUUGGAAUUUACGGUGUAGCAGUGAAAUGCGUAGAUAUCGUAAGGAAGACCAGUGGCGAAGGCGAAUCUCUGGACAGUUACUGACACUGAGGCACGAAGGCCAGGGGAGCAAACGGG
rnacentral:rRNA from 1 species